ACCUGUGGUGGGAUCUGUUCCAUUGGCCACCUUGUUGGGUCAGGGAAACAGGGCAUCUGGAUCUAAGAAGUGCUGUAUGCUGACCUGAAGUGGACCAAGUACUCCUCGUGUAUUUUCUCAUUCUCACCACAGCCUUGUGAGGUAGAUAUUGUCAUGCCAUUUUACAGGACAGCCACACAUAUGCCAAGUGUCAGAGAGUAAAUGGCAACAGCAGGACCUGACCCAGAUUUACUGUCCAGUGCAGUUUUGCUGAGAGCGGUGAGAGGUGGAGGAGGCAUCUAAAGGGCUUGCUUUACAAUGUUGCCUGGAGCCAGUCCACAUCCGAGCCAUGGGAGGUCACAAGAAAUGUAAGGAGAAGUUGGUAGAUUUACCUACAGUUGCAUAGCUGAUAUGUGGCAAAACAUCAAAGUCCAGAGCUCUAAACGGUAUGUCUUGUGGUGCUCAUAAUUAUAUGCUCUGAAAUAAAAAAGAAGACUAUAUUACAUGCUAAUCACUGAUAAAUCUUUCUGCGAUGCCGGUUCAAUUGCCUUCAUUGAUUAUUGCAGAAUUUCCUAU
rnacentral:lncRNA from 1 species